UACGGAGGGGGCUAGCGUUAUCCGGAUUUACUGGGCGUAAAGGGUGUGCAGGCGGGCUGUUAAGUGGUGUAUGAAAUCGCCGGGCGUCAACCGGGCGAGGUUAUGCCAGACUGGCAGUCUAGAGAGCGAGAGAGGGACGUGGAAUUCCGGGUGUAGUGGUGAAAUGCGUAGAGAGUCCGGAAGGGAACGACCAGUGGCGGAAGGCGAACACGCUGGGCCGUACCUGACACUGAUGCGCGGACAGCAUGGGGAGCAAACAGG
rnacentral:rRNA from 1 species